rnacentral:rRNA from 1 species
GAUGAACGCUGGCGGCGUGCCUAAUACAUGCAAGUCGAGCGAAUGGAUUAAGAGCUUGCUCUUAUGAAGUUAGCGGCGGACGGGUGAGUAACACGUGGGUAACCUGCCCAUAAGACUGGGAUAACUCCGGGAAACCGGGGCUAAUACCGGAUAACAUUUUGAACCGCAUGGUUCGAAAUUGAAAGGCGGCUUCGGCUGUCACUUAUGGAUGGACCCGCGUCGCAUUAGCUAGUUGGUGAGGUAACGGCUCACCAAGGCAACGAUGCGUAGCCGACCUGGGAGAGGGAUCGGCCACACGGGGACUGAGACACGGCCCCAGCUCCUACGGGAGGCAGCAGUAGGUAAUCUUCCGCAAUGGACGAAAGUCUGACGGAGCAACGCCGCGUGAGUGAUGAAGGCUUUCGGGUCGUAAAACUCUGUUGUUAGGGAAGAACAAGUGCUAGUUGAAUAAGCUGGCACCUUGACGGUACCUAACCAGAAAGCCACGGCUAACUACGUGCCAGCCGCCGCGGUAA